rnacentral:rRNA from 1 species
GAUGAACGCUGGCGGCGUGCCUAAUACAUGCAAGUCGAGCGAACGGACGAGAAGCUUUCUUCUCUGAUGUUAGCGGCGGACGGGUGAGUAACACGUGGAUAACCUACCUAUAAGACUGGGAUAACUUCGGGAAACCGUAGCUAAUACCGGAUAAUAUUUUGAACCGCAUGGUUCAAAAGUGAAAGACGGUCUUGCUGUCACUUAUAGAUGGAUCCGCGCUGCAUUAGCUAGUUGGUAAGGUAACGGCUUACCAAGGCAACGAUGCAUAGCCGACCUGAGAGGGUGAUCGGCCACACUGGAACUGAGACACGGUCCAGACUCCUACGGGAGGCAGAAGUAGGGAAUCUUCCGCAAUGGGCGAAAGCCUGACGGAGCAACGCCGCGUGAGUGAUGAAGGUCUUCGGAUCGUAAAACUCUGUUAUUAGGGAAGAACAUAUGUGUAAGUAACUGUGCACAUAUUGACGGUACCUAAUCAGAAAGCCACGGCUAACUACGUG